rnacentral:rRNA from 1 species
UACAGAGGGUGCAAGCGUUGUUCGGAAUUAUUGGGCGUAAAGGGAGUGUAGGCGGCUUGUUAAGUCUUCUGUGAAAUCUACGGGCUUAGCCUGUAACGUGCAGAGGAAACUGGCGAGCUUGAGUGUCGGAGAGGGUAGCGGAAUUCCCGGUGUAGAGGUGAAAUUCGUAGAGAUCGGGAGGAACACCAGUGGCGAAGGCGGCUACCUGGCUGACAACUGACGCUGAGACUCGAAAGCAUGGGGAGCAAACAGG